rnacentral:ncRNA from 1 species
UCGUGGAAAUCGGGAGACGCUGGCGCAGGCCAGGGCCGAAGGAGCAACCGCCCCGGUAAACUCUCAGGCAAAAAGACCGUUUCCGCAUA